UACGGGGGGGGCAAGCGUUGUUCGGAAUUACUGGGCGUAAAGGGUGCGUAGGCGGCUCUCUAAGUCGGAUGUGAAAGCUCUGGGCUCAACCCAGAGACUGCAUCCGAAACUGGAGGGCUAGGGUUCUGGAGGGGAAAGCGGAAUUCCUGGUGUAGCGGUGAAAUGCGUAGAUAUCAGGAGGAACACCGGUGGCGAAGGCGGCUUUCUGGACAGAAACUGACGCUGAGGCGCGAAAGCUAGGGGAGCAAACAGG
rnacentral:rRNA from 1 species